AGCGGCGUACGGGUGCGGAACACGUGUGCACUGCUUUAUCUGGGGGAUAGCCUUUCGAAAGGAAGAUUAAUACCCCAUAAUAUGUUGAAUGGCAUCAUUCGACAUUGAAAACUCCGGUGGAUAGAGAUGGGCACGCGCAAGAUUAGAUAGUUGGUGAGGUAACGGUCACCAAGUCUACGAUCUUUAGGGGGCCUGAGAGGGUGAUCCCCCAAACUGGUACUGAGACACGGACCAGACUCCUACGGGAGGCAGCAGUGAGGAAUAUUGGACAAUGGGUGAGAGCCUGAUCCAGCCAUCCCGCGUGAAGGACGACUGGCCUAUGGGUUGUAAACUUCUUUUGUAUAGGGAUAAACUACCUCGUGAGGGUAGCUGAAGGUACUAUACGAAUAAGCACCGGCUAACUCCGUGCCAGCAGCCGCGGUAAAUACGGAGGGUGCAAGGCGUUAUCCGGAUUUAUUGGGUUUAAAGGGUCCGUAGGCGGAUCUGUAAGUCAGUGGUUGAAAUCUCACAGGUUAACUGUGAAACUGCCAUUGGAUACUGCAGGGUCUUGAGUGGUUGGUGAAAGUAGCUGGGAAUAAGUAAGUGUAACGGUGGAAAUUG
rnacentral:rRNA from 1 species